rnacentral:rRNA from 1 species
GAUGAACGCUGGCGGCGUGCCUAAUACAUGCAAGUCGAGCGAACGGACGAGAAGCUUGCUUCUCUGAUGUUAGCGGCGGACGGGUGGGUAACACGUGGAUAACCUACCUAUAAGACUGGGAUAACUUCGGGAAACCGGAGCUAAUACCGGAUAAUAUUUUGAACCGCAUGGUUCAAAAGUGAAAGACGGUCUUGCUGUCACUUAUAGAUGGAUCCGCGCUGCAUUAGCUAGUUGGUAAGGUAACGGCUUACCAAGGCAACGAUGCAUAGCCGACCUGAGAGGGUGAUCGGCCACACUGGAACUGAGACACGGUCCAGACUCCUACGGGAGGCAGCAGUAGGGAAUCUUCCGCAAUGGGCGAAAGCCUGACGGAGCAACGCCGCGUGAGUGAUGAAGGUCUUCGGAUCGUAAAACUCUGUUAUUAGGGAAGAACAUAUGUGUAAGUAACUGUGCACAUCUUGACGGUACCUAAUCAGAAAGCCACGGCUAACUACGUGCCAGCAGCCGCGGUAAUACGUAGGUGGCAAGCGUUAUCCGGAAUUAUUGGGCGUAAAGCGCGCGUAGGCGGUUUUUUAAGUCUGAUGUGAAAGCCCACGGCUCAACCGUGGAGGGUCAUCGGAAACUGGAAAACUUGAGUGCAGAAGAGGAAAGUGGAAUUCCAUGUGUAGCGGUGAAAUGCGCAGAGAUAUGGAGGAACACCAGUGGCGAAGGCGACUUUCUGGUCUGUAACUGACGCUGAUGUGCGAAAGCGUGGGGAUCAAACAGGAUUAGAUACCCUGGUAGUCCACGCCGUAAACGAUGAGUGCUAAGUGUUAGGGGGUUUCCGCCCCUUAGUGCUGCAGCUAACGCAUUAAGCACUCCGCCUGGGGAGUACGACCGCAAGGUUGAAACUCAAAGGAAUUGACGGGGACCCGCACAAGCGGUGGAGCAUGUGGUUUAAUUCGAAGCAACGCGAAGAACCUUACCAAAUCUUGACAUCCUUUGACAACUCUAGAGAUAGAGCCUUCCCCUUCGGGGGACAAAGUGACAGGUGGUGCAUGGUUGUCGUCAGCUCGUGUCGUGAGAUGUUGGGUUAAGUCCCGCAACGAGCGCAACCCUUAAGCUUAGUUGCCAUCAUUAAGUUGGGCACUCUAAGUUGACUGCCGGUGACAAACCGGAGGAAGGUGGGGAUGACGUCAAAUCAUCAUGCCCCUUAUGAUUUGGGCUACACACGUGCUACAAUGGACAAUACAAAGGGCAGCGAAACCGCGAGGUCAAGCAAAUCCCAUAAAGUUGUUCUCAGUUCGGAUUGUAGUCUGCAACUCGACUACAUGAAGCUGGAAUCGCUAGUAAUCGUAGAUCAGCAUGCUACGGUGAAUACGUUCCCGGGUCU